rnacentral:rRNA from 1 species
UACGUAGGGCGCAAGCGUUGUCCGGAAUUAUUGGGCGUAAAGAGCUCGUAGGCGGUUUGUCGCGUCUGCUGUGAAAACCUAAGGCUCAACCCUGGGCUUGCAGUGGGUACGGGCAGACUAGAGUGCGGUAGGGGUGACUGGAAUUCCUGGUGUAGCGGUGGAAUGCGCAGAUAUCAGGAGGAACACCGAUGGCGAAGGCAGGUCACUGGGCCGCAACUGACGCUGAGGAGCGAAAGCAUGGGGAGCGAACAGG